rnacentral:rRNA from 1 species
UGAGUAACACGUGGGCAAUCUGCCCUGCACUUCGGGAUAAGCCUGGGAAACUGGGUCUAAUACCGGAUAGGACCUUUAGACGCAUGUCUUUUGGUGGAAAGCUUUUGCGGUGUGGGAUGGGCCCGCGGCCUAUCAGCUUGUUGGUGGGGUGAUGGCCUACCAAGGCGACGACGGGUAGCCGGCCUGAGAGGGUGUCCGGCCACACUGGGACUGAGAUACGGCCCAGACUCCUACGGGAGGCAGCAGUGGGGAAUAUUGCACAAUGGGCGCAAGCCUGAUGCAGCGACGCCGCGUGGGGGAUGACGGCCUUCGGGUUGUAAACCUCUUUCACCAUCGACGAAGGUCCGGGUUUUCUCGGAUUGACGGUAGGUGGAGAAGAAGCACCGGCCAACUACGUGCCAGCAGCCGCGGUAAUACGUAGGGUGCGAGCGUUGUCCGGAAUUACUGGGCGUAAAGAGCUCGUAGGUGGUUUGUCGCGUUGUUCGUGAAAUCUCACGGCUUAACUGUGAGCGUGCGGGCGAUACGGGCAGACUAGAGUACUGCAGGGGAGACUGGAAUUCCUGGUGUAGCGGUGGAAUGCGCAGAUAUCAAGGAGGAACACCGGGUGGCGAAAGGCGGGUCUCUGGGCAGUAACUGACGCUGAGGAGCGAAAAGCGUGGGGGAGCGAACAGGAUUAGAUACCCUGGGUAGUCCACGCCCGUAAACGGUGGGUACUAAGGUGUGGGGUUUUCCUUCCUUUGGGGAUCCCGUGCCGUANCUAACGCAUUUAAGUACCCCCGCCUGGGGGAGUACGGCCGCANGGCUAAAAACUCAAAGGAAUUUGANCGGGGGGCCCCGCACAA